UGAUGACCCUCACCGCAAGCGCCCGCUGA
rnacentral:sRNA from 1 species